rnacentral:sRNA from 1 species
UUCAUUGCAUUUGUGAUUUGAUAAGAAAAUGCGUAGAAAAUAGCAAAUUAUGCGACAUUAUUCAAAUGUCAAGGCGAUGUCCUAUUCAAUGAGGAUUUUAAGAAAAAAAUCAACAUAAGAGAAGUUUAAAAUCUACAAACAUUUUCCGGUAAUUUGCUCAAAAUACUUUUGUUUGCUGCUAAUUUGACUGGAUAAUUCCAUUGAAAGCGACAUUCUUUGGUAAAGCUAAUGUUAAAUCCUAUUUCAAUAAAAAUUUCAAUUUAGAGCAUUA